GAUGAAGAACGUAGCGAAAUGCGAUAAGUAAUGUGAAUUGCAGAAUUCAGUGAAUCAUCGAAUCUUUGAACGCACAUUGCGCCCGCCAGUAUUCUGGCGGGCAUGCCUGUUCGAGCGUCAUUACAACCCUCAGACCCCCGGGCCUGGCGUUGGGGAUCGGCGGAGCCCCCCGUGGGCACACGCCGUCCCCCAAAUGCAGUGGCGGUCCCGCCGCAGCUUCCAUCGCGUAGUAGCUAACACCUCGCGACUGGAGAGCGGCGCGGCCACGCCGUAAAACACCCAACUCUUCUGAAGUUGACCUCGAAUCAGGUAGGAAUACCCGCUGAACUUAAGCAUAUCAAUAAGCGGAGGA
rnacentral:misc_RNA from 1 species